UUUGUUAAGAUGUCCAUAGUACCAAAAGUGAUUUAUAGACUUAAUGUAUUCCUAACAAAAAUCCAGUGGCAUUUUUCUACAGGAAUAGAAUUCUAAAAUUUAUAUUGAAUCACAAAGUACCCCAAAUAGCCAAAACAGUCUUCAGAAAUAAGAGCAAAACCUGGAGGCAUCAGACUUUCUAUAAUAAUUAAAAUAAAUUGAUAUUUGCAUGAAGACAGACAUAUAAAUCAAUGUAACAUAAUAGCGAGCCCAGAAACUUACCUUGUAAACUUAUCUUGACAAGGAUGCCAAGGAUAUACAAUGGGGAAAGGACAUUCUCUUCGACAAAUGGUGUUGGACAACUGGAUAGCCACCUGCAAAAGAAUGAAAUUUAAACUUUAUACAUAAAACUCAAAAUAGAUUAAAGACUUAAAUAUAAGACCUGAAACUAAAACUUCGAGUAGAAAACAUAAAGGAAAGCUGUGUCACUGGUCUUGGCAAUGAUUUCUUAGACAUGACACCAAAAGCACAGCCAAUGAAAGCAAAAAUAGACAUUCAGGACAAGAUCAAACUAAAGAGCUUCGGCAAAAUAAACAACGGAGAGGGUGAAAAUGCAAACUGCAGAAUGGGAGAAAAUAUUUGCACACCAUAUAUCUGAUAAACGGUUAAUAUUCAAAAAAUAUAAGGAACUCCUUCAACUCAAUAACAAAAGAACAAAUUACCCAGAUAAAAAAUGGACAAGAGAGGCGGAGGCGGUGGCGCCCGGAAGGCCUCUGCUGUUAAGGCGGGCUUCACUUGACUGGCAGCGGACAGGUCGGACCUAAUGCUGGAGGACGAGCCGCAGCCGCCUUUGCGCCAACCUGGCCUGGGCCUGCCGGAGGCGAUGCCGCCAGGGGAUGCUCUUGCUGGGCCCGGCCUCUCCCUCCUCAAUUUAGGGCAGCGGCGGGCCCGGGGCCCCUGGCUCCCUGGCCAUGGCGCUGAGGGAGCUCAAAGUGUGUCUGCUGCGGGAUACAGGUGGGUGGUGGUUUGUGGAAGACCGUUUUGAUCCAAACAUCAACCCAACAAUGGGGGCAUCUUUUAUGACCAAGACUGUCCAGUACCAACAUGAGCUGCCGUAAAUUUCUAAUCUGGGGUACAGCUGGACAAGAACGAUUUCGUGCCUUAGCACCAAUGUCCUGUCGAGGGUCGGCCGCAGCUAUAAUCGUUUAUGAUAUCACAAAAGAAGAGACAUUUUCAACAUGAAAGAAUUGGGUGAAAGAGCUUGGACAGCAUGGCCCACAUAAUAUUGCAGUUGCCAUUGCAGGAAGUAAGUGUGAUCAUAUUGAUGUAAGAGAAUUCAUGGAGAGAGAUGCAAAGGACUAUGCCGACCUUAUUCAUGCAAUUUUUGCAGAGACCAGCGCAAAAAACGUGAUAAACAUAAGUGAACUCUUUACAGAAAUUAGUCAAAGAAUUCCAUCCACCGACGCCAACCCGCCUUCUGGUGGCAAGGGUUUCAAACUCCGAAGGCAGCCUUCAGAGCCAAAGCGGAGCUGCUGCUGACCGAACCUCAGCUCCUCAGACUUGAUGAUGAAGUAGGCGGUCCUGAAGGUUAACAGGAGGGCUGGGGUCCUGCCACCAGUUUCCACCUAGCCGGUGUUGAGUCUUCUCCGUGCAAAAAAGAAUUCAUAGAAAUUGACCAGUCUCUUCUCUAAAAACGGCAGCAAUGAUAUUUGUCUGUGGACUUCUAUUAUGUAAAGAAUCUCUAGCGUGCAAAGGGACUGCAUCAUUGGCUUUUGACCUUGCUGAAAAGGAACAUAUAAUUGUAUGGAUGGUAUGAUUAAGUUGUUGAGUAGUUUUGUCAUCACAAUUUUAUGUAACAUUUGUAAAGGGAAAAUUAGUACUUCUGUGGCUCGUAAGGGAAAAAAAGACCUCGUGGAGAUUGUAAUUUCCUGGGUUUCUGUUACCGCUGUUAGAGGGAGUUGUUUGAUUGAAAAUGUAGUAGGAUAGUCUUAGUGAAGAGAGAACGAUUAUGAUCUGAAGCUAAAAUGGGUUAUUUAUAGGACUGAUGGAAAUGACUUCAUCUCUGUCAUCUCUAAAGCACUUUUCAUUGACUAUGUUAGCCUAGGAUAUGUACAGUAAAUUAACAAGGAUAGCAGCAGACCGCUAGCUCCCCCUGGGUUUGCUUCUGACCUUGUCAUGUGUGUGCCACCAAACAUGUUACUGGCACCUUUUUAAAAUAAGCUCUCAUGAUCAAGAUGGUGAUGGUACAGAAGCUGCCUGGAAUAAAUUGAAUUUCAUGUGUUCUAAUUGACUAGCAAUUGUUUAAAAAGGAAGAAGAGAGGAAGUAAAGAAGCUGGUGUAAAUGGUGUCAAUUUUUUUUUCACCCAGGUAUUUUGGUGGGGAAAAACAAGUAUUGGUUGCUUUGCAUAUGUAAAGUUGUAGUCUAUAUUUAUGAGGCCAUCGCUUAAAGAUUAUAAGUUAUGUAAAUACACUAAUAAAUUCUGUUUCAUUUAAAAAAAAUAAAAAAUGGGCAAAAUACUUAAAUAGACAUUUCUCCAAAGAAUACAAAUGACCAAGAGGUGGAUGAAAAGAUGCUCAGCCAGGCACAGUGGAUCAUGCCUGUAAUCCCAGCACUCUGGGAGUCUGAGGUGGUAAAAUUGUGUGAGCCCAGGAGUUUGAGACCAGCCUGGGCAACAUAACAAGAUCCCAUCUCUACAAAUUUUUGUUUAAUUAUCCUGGUGUAGUCAUACAUACCUGUAGUCUCAGUUACUUGGGAGGCUGAGGCAGGAGGAUCUCUUGAGCCCAAGAGAUUGUAGCUGUAGUGGGCAUGUUUGCACCACUGCUGUCAACCUGGGUGCAAGACUCUGUUUCAAAACAGACAUACAAACCAGGAAACAAAUAAACAGAAAAGGUGCUCAAUAUCACUAACCAUCAAGGGAAUGCAAAUCAAAAGUACAAUGAGAUAUAACCUCACACCUGUCAGGAUGGCUAUUGUCCAAAAAAAAAAAAAUGGUACGUGUUGAUCAGGAUGUGAAGGAAUUGAAAGCUUUUUGCACUGUUGGCAGGAAUGUAAAAUUGUGCAUCCCCUAUGGAAAACAAUAUGGAGGUUUCUAAAAAACUUAAAAAUAGCAACACCACACGAUCACUCUUACUUUCGUGUAUUUAUCCAAAAGAACUGAAAGGAGGAACUUGAGAUAUUUGCACUCCCGUGUUCAUUACAGCAUUAUUCACAGUAAUCAAGAUGUAGAAACAACCUAAAUCUUCAUCAAUGGAUGUGUGGAUAAAGAAAAUGUGUAUAUUCAUCCUUUUAAACCACCAGAUCUCACGAUCACUCACUCACUGUCACAAGAACAGCAUCAAAGGGGAAAUCCACCCCCACGAGCCAAUCACCUCCCAUCAGGCCCCACCUCCAACACUGAAGAUUAUGAUUUGAAAUGAUAUUUGGGUGGGGACAGAGACCCAAACCAUAUUAAUGUGUUAUAUACACAUAAUGGAAUAUCUUUCAGCCUUAAAAAAUGAAGGAAAUUCUGCCAUCUGUGACAACAUAAAUAAACCUUGAGGCAUUGUGACAACAUGAAUAAACCUUGGGACCGUAUGCUAAGGGAAAUAAGCAUGAUAGCAAUAUUUGUGAGAUAUAUAAAGUAGACACAAAAAAGGAGGCAGGGAGGAUGAAGAAAUGGACAGCUGCUAUUCAAUGGGUGUAACAUUUCAGCAAUGCAAGAUGACUAAGCUCUAGAGAUGUGCUGUACAACAUUGGGCUUUUAGUCAAGAGUAAUGUCUUAUACACCUAAAAAUUCACUAGGAGUGUAGCUUCUAUGUUAAGUGUUCUUACAACCAAGAAAAAAAGAAUGUUAUUCUUCCUCUAUUUUUACAAAUAUUUUAGGGUGUCUAUGAGAGAGGUAGCAAAGUGUUUACCAGUUAGAUGCUGUUUUAAAGUGAAAGCCAUUUGCAUUCACAUUUGAUAGUACCUGUAUUUUGGUUGGUUUUCAAAAUAUCAUCAUCAUUAUCAUUAUCAUUUGCACUUCGUGUUCUCUAGUGCAACAUGGUAGAAGAAAUCAGUAGAAAAAAUGUAAAGCCUUAUUCCACCAGGAAAUUCAGUAUCACUAUAAAUAUCCACAACUACACAACAGGGUGACUGUAGCAAAUAACAAUGUGGCAUGUAUUUCAGGAGAAGAUUUUGAAUGUCACCACCACCAGGAAAGGAUAAGUGUCUAAAGUUAUGAAUACGGAAAUGGCUCUGAUCAUUACACUAUGUGUACAUGCAUUGAAACGUCACAUUGUACCCCAUAAAUAUGUACAACUAUCUCUAUGAUAUGAACUAGACCGGAGUAAGAUGUUACUUCGUUCAUUUUGCAUGCUAUAAAGGAAUACCUGAGGUUGGGUAAUUUAUAAAGAAAAGAGGUUUAUUUGGCUCACAGUUCUGCAGGCUGUAUAAGAAGCAUGGCAUCAGCAUCUGCCUAGCUUCUGGUGAGGGUGUCAGGAAGCUUUUACUCAUGUGGAAGGCAAGGAGAGCCUACCUGUCUCAGCUGCACAAAGAGAAGCAUCAUGAACCAUCAGAAGGAAGGCAGCUCGUUUAAACCACAGGUGCCUUGGCAGAAGGACAAUUCUUCAGAAACACACACGAGUAUUAUUUGUAAGAAAAGGAGGUAAACUCAGUUGCUCUGGUGGUAGACAGAGGAAUUAAAAUAGUUUUGGUUGAAGAGGAAAGUCUCAUGCUGGUGCCCCUCUAAAUUGAACUACCUACCCAUCCUAUCUUUCCCUAAGUCAUCUUUCUCUUAUAUUCUCCACCAAAAAAAAAAAAAACCAACUAAACCAAAAAUGGAAACAUUUGCAUUUUCUGCAUGCAUACAUCCUUACUCCCACUCUGCUCAUUCUCAGCAAAUUACCUCACCUCCUACUUCAAAGACAGUAGAAGGUAUCAGAAAAAUGUCCUUGAACGUCCUACUAACAAACCCAUAAUCUUUUGUGCACCUUCUCAUUCACCUUCCUCCGUCCCUGACAGGGUAGAGGACUCUCUGCCUCCACCAAUACUGAAUUCUAUUAUUCUAUCUCUCCUGGCUCACCAUCUUGUCAAAUAACAAGACACAUUAGGCCACAGGGCUUGUUCUACAACAGUCAUUUUCUAUGCAAAUAUGGCUCCAUUUCUGAUCUGCACUAAAGGGACACAAGUUUCCUAGGCAAUGUCAGUUUCAUUACGGGCCACUGGAAUCUUACAAAAUGUCUGGAUUGAGCAUAUGUUUUAUAGGAAUUAUGUGAGUUAUUUUGUACUAUUUUAUCUGGUUUUAAAAGAAACAGGACUGGGCACAGUGGCUCAUGCCUGUAAUUCCAGCAAUUUGGAAGGCUGUGGCAAGAAGAUUGCCUGAGGUCAGGAGUUUGAGACCUGACUGGGCCACAUAGCAAGACCCCAUCUAUGAAAAAAUAAAAUAAAAUGAAAGUAAGCAACUUGUUACUUCACUGACAGUAGAUGAUUGCAUUUAUGAGUAUUUCACAAGUAAAGAAAACUUAUAUAUUGCCUAUUUGUAUUUUUUUUCAACUACCUUCUAUAUUUUUAGUCAGCCUAGAUUUUGGAAAAGUCAUAUGAGUUAGAAGUGGAAGAUGUUCAUGUCUUUCUCUUUCCUGCAGAAAUUACCUAUUAAUAUAAGCAACUCUUAUUAUAAAGGUCAGGAUUGACCCACAGCCUCUUUGUUUGGGGGCGAUCACAGUUCCAAGUCUUUUCUGUCUCAAUCUCCUAGUAUUCUGUCUCCUGGUUUCCUAUUUCUGGCCUUUCCUUCUUUUCUGGUUGCUUUUCUGCAUCCAUAGCAGGUCCCUCUUCUUGUCCCUGAGAUGGGUGUUUCUCAGGGCACAGUCUUGGGCUUUCUGCUCUUUUUCUUUACUAAUUUUCACUGUACCUGGACAAAAGCACUCACUCUGAGGCUUCAGUGAUCACUUCAGUGCUACUGACUCACAAAUCAAUAACUCCAGCAUGCUCUCUCUUCUGCACUGUGUUUGAUGUCUGAUAAGUACCUCCGACUCUCCGUGUCCAGGAUUGAUUUUAUCUGGUCUACCCCAUUCCCUGCAUUUCUCUUUCCUUGGAUGGCACCAUAAUGGGCCAGCUGGAAGCCUUCCCUCUUACUUGCCCACCCAAGCACCUCAUGCCCCGGCAACCAUUUUUCAUGUAGGCAUUUCAUUUGGCACUAAUUCUGUUUACCUGAAUCUAUCAGCAGAGCCUACUUCCCUGCUCAGAUACAAUCGCCUCAGAGAUAAGAUAGUAUUUUAUCACUUGGUAGCCCUUUAUAAAUGGUUCAUACACUGUAGACUGAAAUGUUACAAAAAAAAUUUGGCUAAUCCUUAAAGGCAGUGAAGAAAGGCAUGGUGGUGAUGCUAGGAACAUUCUCUUCAGUAUUACCAAAUUGCCAAGCUUUUUUCUUGUACUGUUUUCAUGUUCCUUUCAGGAACACUAGACUCAUUCCUGCCCUGUGCAGUUUCAGUGGCAAGUACUGGGGAUGGAGAAAAAAAUGUGGUCCUUGUUCCAAAAAUGUAGCUUACAGAGUAAAGGAGGAGAGUGGUAGGAACACCGUCGCCACUCACCAGGGCUGUCUGUCAACACUGAGGUACAGAAGCCAGGGGGACCACAGGGCACCCCUCUGACCAGCAAGGUACCACAGACUUCCCAGAGGCACAGUGAAAUCUAAGAUGAGUUCUAAAUUCAGUCAUUUGUUCUGUUUGUUUUUUAUUCAGUCAUUUAUUAAAGAAAUAUUUACAUUAAUCCUCAAAACAGCUCUUUAGCAAUUGUGAAUCUCUAGCACCAAGCAAAUCUUUACCAUUAUUUUUUUAAAACCUUGGAAUCCCAGAGUUUGACAUAGAAGGGGGAUGAUGCAGGCCAGAUCAAAUCAAGAAAUUAAGAAGAAAAACAGCUUCCCCCGUAUGCGAUCUUAUUUUCAGGGAGUCAGACUGUCAGGCCAACUCAUGCAGAUGGAAAAGGAGACCAGGAGCUGCAUUCAACAUGCUCACGGUCUGCUGAUAGCUUUUCAAUACUGCUGCCUGUCAUUCCGAGUACAUGAGUACAAGGUUCCCUCCUUCUGAAUAAAUUACAGAGCAAUUACAGCCUAAGGGAUAGGAGUUUCCCGCUAGCUUUCUGAGCACUGCUGUGGCUCAGAAGCUCGCUGAGCCACAGUGUGAGUGAGCCUCAGAGAGAACAGCUGCCCUGGCUAACCUACCACCAAUUGCCUGGGGUGGAGUGAGGCAGCUAGGGCUUGCUCCCAAGCCUCAAGCCUCAACCUUGCUUUGAUGACUGACACAUGAAGUGAUGUAAGUGGAUGAAUAAUCCAGUGUGAGCUUCUGUGCCUUCAGAAAUUUUAGCCUUUCCUGGUAGGGCAAAGCUCUACCUUCUGUGUCUUGCAACUCUAUUGAGAGACUAAACAGGCAAACAGAAAACAGCCAGACCAUGCCUGAAAGACAGAACUCUGACCCACAGCCUGCAGCAACCUGCCGAGGAAGCAAACACAGUGUGUACAGUAGCCAGCCCGGGAAGCCCACCGGCUGUGUUAGACUUGUGGGAAGUCAGGCUGCUAUGUCUCGCAACAGUCCAGGAAGCCAAACUAUAACCCCUGCAACAACUGGCCCCAAAAAGCUAUGACUAAUUUUUUUUUUUGCUUUAAAAUAAGUCGUUUUAAAAAAUAUUAAUUUUUGAUGCACAAUAAUUGCAUA